GGAAAAUGCAAAGCGGAAUGUAUAACACCUGAAGUUUGCGAUGGCGUUUGCAGUGGAAGCGAAAUUUGCGUAAAGACAUGUCAAGAUGCUGAGACAACUACUGCAUCACUUGACGGUUCCGGAAACGGAUCAUCCACUUUGGGAUUGUUUGCACCACUUCUGGCUCUCGGGACGCUGUCUGUGAUGCUGUUCAGUCGGUGAUAGCUAUGUCUAUAGACAAUACAUUUUGACAUCUGGAAAUCAUCGUUAGUGCUAACGAAACAAAUGAUAGAUGUCUUUUUCAUUUCGUGCAUGUUUUGAUUCACAUUAAUGUGAGGAGCUGCAUCUACUCGUGUGUUUUAUUUAUUAAUUUAUAGUUGAAAUUCAUUAAUAAGGAUAUACUGCUACAUCUAUGUGUAUGUGUUGUAUAAACGAAACAAACAUUGCCCUUCAAUGCAUGCGUUGAAUCACAUUGAAUGUGAGGAGCUGCACUCGUCUGUGAUAUCGCUGUUUUUAAGUUAAUUAUGAAUUCUAAGUGAUAAAUACUCAGCCAAUAUGUACAAUCUAUUUAUAAUGAUGAUUAAAAUUAUUGAUUUCAAA